rnacentral:rRNA from 1 species
GACGAACGCUGGCGGCGUGCUUAACACAUGCAAGUCGAACGGAAAGGCCCUGCUUUUGUGGGGUGCUCGAGUGGCGAACGGGUGAGUAACACGUGAGUAACCUGCCCUUGACUUUGGGAUAACUUCAGGAAACUGGGGCUAAUACCGGAUAGGAGCUCCUGCUGCAUGGUGGGGGUUGGAAAGUUUCGGCGGUUGGGGAUGGACUCGCGGCUUAUCAGCUUGUUGGUGGGGUAGUGGCUUACCAAGGCUUUGACGGGUAGCCGGCCUGAGAGGGUGACCGGCCACAUUGGGCCUGAGAUACGGCCCAGCCUCCUACGGGAGGCAGCAGUGGGGAAUAUUGCACAAUGGGCGGAAGCCUGAUGCAGCAACGCCGCGUGCGUGAUGACGGCCUUCGGGUUGUAAACCGCUUUCGCCUGUGACGAAGCGCGAGUGACGGUAAUGGGUAAAGAAGCACCGGCUAACUACGUG